rnacentral:rRNA from 1 species
UACGUAGGGUGCGAGCGUUAAUCGGAAUUACUGGGCGUAAAGCGUGCGCAGGCGGUGAUGUAAGACAGGUGUGAAAUCCCCGGGCUUAACCUGGGAACUGCAUUUGUGACUGCAUCGCUGGAGUGCGGCAGAGGGGGAUGGAAUUCCGCGUGUAGCAGUGAAAUGCGUAGACAUGCGGAGGAACACCGAUGGCGAAGGCAAUCCCCUGGGCCUGCACUGACGCUCAUGCACGAAAGCGUGGGGAGCAAACAGG